rnacentral:rRNA from 1 species
CCUACGGGUGGCUGCAGUGGGGAAUAUUGGACAAUGGGCGAAAGCCUGAUCCAGCCAUGCCGCGUGUGUGAAGAAGGCCUUCGGGUUGUAAAGCACUUUCAGUGGGGAAGAAAGCCUUGGGGCUAAUACCCUCGAGGAAGGACAUCACCCACAGAAGAAGCACCGGCUAACUCCGUGCCAGCAGCCGCGGUAAUACGGAGGGUGCGAGCGUUAAUCGGAAUUACUGGGCGUAAAGCGCGCGUAGGCGGUCUGAUAAGCCGGUUGUGAAAGCCCCGGGCUCAACCUGGGAACGGCAUCCGGAACUGUCAGGCUAGAGUGCAGGAGAGGAAGGUAGAAUUCCCGGUGUAGCGGUGAAAUGCGUAGAGAUCGGGAGGAAUACCAGUGGCGAAGGCGGCCUUCUGGACUGACACUGACGCUGAGGUGCGAAAGCGUGGGUAGCAAACAGGAUUAGAUCCCUGGUAGUC